AACUGCGGACGGCUCAUUAAAUCAGUUAUCGUUUAUUUGAUAGCACCUACUACAUGGAUAACUGUGGUAAUUCUAGAGCUAAUACAUGCUAAAAAUCCCGACUUCGGAAGGGAUGUAUUUAUUAGAUUAAAAACCAAUGCCCUUCGGGGCUCUCUGGUGAUUCAUAAUAACUGCUCGAAUCGCAUGGCCUUGCGCCGGCGAUGGCUCAUUCAAAUUUCUGCCCUAUCAACUUUCGACGGCUGGGUCUUGGCCAGCCAUGGUGACAACGGGUAACGGAGGGUUAGGGCUCGACCCCGGAGAAGGAGCCUGAGAGACGGCUACUACAUCCAAGGAAGGCAGCAGGCGCGCAAAUUACCCAAUCCCAAUUCGGGGAGGUAGUGACAAUAAAUACUGAUACAGGGCUCUUUUGGGUCUUGUAAUCGGAAUGAGAACAAUUUAAAUCCCUUAACGAGGAACAAUUGGAGGGCAAGUCUGGUGCCAGCAGCCGCGGUAAUUCCAGCUCCAAUAGCGUAUAUUAAAGUUGUUGCAGUUAAAAAGCUCGUAGUUGAACCUUGGGCCUGGCUGGCCGGUCCGCCUCACCGCGUGCACUGGUCCGGCCGGGCCUUUCCCUCUGGGGAGCCGCAUGCCCUUCACUGGGCGUGUCGGGGAACCAGGACUUUUACUGUGAAAAAAUUAGAGUGUUCAAAGCAGGCCUAUGCUCGAAUACAUUAGCAUGGAAUAAUAGAAUAGGACGUGUGGUUCUAUUUUGUUGGUUUCUAGGACCGCCGUAAUGAUUAAUAGGGACAGUCGGGGGCGUCAGUAUUCAAUUGUCAGAGGUGAAAUUCUUGGAUUUAUUGAAGACUAACUGCUGCGAAAGCGUUCGCCAAGGAUGUUUUCAUUAAUCAGGAACGAAAGUUAGGGGAUCGAAGACGAUCAGAUACCGUCGUAGUCUUAACCAUAAACUAUGCCGACUCGGGAUCGGACGAUGUUAUUUUUUGACUCGUUCGGCACCGUAUACGAAAGUAAAGUUUCUGGG
rnacentral:rRNA from 1 species